rnacentral:tRNA from 1 species
GCCCGCGUAGCUCAGCCGGCCAGAGCAACCGCCUUGUAAGCGGUAGGUCGUGGGUUCGACUCCCACCGCGGGCU